rnacentral:misc_RNA from 1 species
AAGUCGUAACAAGGUUUGUCCUUCCGGUUAAAGAUUUUAAGUGUCAAUUUCUUCACUACCGAAGCCUUUCAUACCGACUCUAAAAAUAGUGUGGAGUCUUAUCUUCCGAGGUAAAGACAAUACCGCUGAAAUGCUGCGAUCACGUAAGUGUACCAGCAGCCUAACCCUAGUUAGGCCCACAGAUCAAGUGGCGGUGGUCUAUAGCUAAAGCUAAAGACUAUAAUAUGACCGGUCCUAACCUAAACGGUUAAGAAUCAACGUUCCGUAGGUGAACCUGCGGAAGGAUCAUUACUGAGUUAG